UACGUAGGGUGCAAGCGUUAAUCGGAAUUACUGGGCGUAAAGCGUGCGCAGGCGGUUUUGUAAGUCUGUCGUGAAAUCCCCGGGCUCAACCUGGGAAUUGCGAUGGAGACUGCAAGGCUAGAGUUUGGCAGAGGGGGGUAGAAUUCCACGUGUAGCAGUGAAAUGCGUAGAUAUCAGGAGGAAUACCGAUGGCGAAGGCAGGUCUCUGGGCUAGAACUGACGCUCAUGCACGAAAGCGUGGGGAGCAAACAGG
rnacentral:rRNA from 1 species